rnacentral:rRNA from 1 species
ACUCCUACGGGAGGCAGCAGUGGGGAAUAUUGCACAAUGGGCGCAAGCCUGAUGCAGCCAUGCCGCGUGUGUGAAGAAGGCCUUCGGGUUGUAAAGCACUUUCAGUUGUGAGGAAAGGUUAGUCGCUAAUAUCGGCUAGCUGUGACGUUAGCAACAGAAGAAGCACCGGCUAACUACGUGCCAGCAGCCGCGGUAAUACGUAGGGGGCGAGCGUUGUCCGGAAUCAUUGGGCGUAAAGCGCGUGUAGGCGGUUCAGUAAGUCUGCUGUGAAAGUCCAGGGCUCAACCCUGGGAUGCCGGUGGAUACUGCUGAACUAGAGUCUGGAAGGGGCGAGUGGAAUUCCUGGUGUAGCGGUGGAAUGCGCAGAUAUCAGGAGGAACACCUAUGGCGAAGGCAGCUCGCUGGGACAGUACUGACGCUGAGACGCGAAAGCGUGGGAGCAAACAGGAUUAGAUACCCUGGUAGGCUCUG